rfam:Virgibacillus soli strain PL205 scaffold000015, whole genome shotgun sequence.
GAUUAAGUUGUUAAGGGCGCACGGUGGAUGCCUUGGCACUAGGAGCCGAUGAAGGACGGGACUAACACCGAUAUGCUUCGGGGAGCUGUAAGCAAGCUUAGAUCCGAAGAUUUCCGAAUGGGGGAACCCCCUACCUUUAAUGGGGUAGGAUCCAAUUCUGAAUACAUAGGAAUUGGAAGGCAUACCCGGGGAACUGAAACAUCUCAGUACCCGGAGGAAGAGAAAGAAAAAUCGAUUCCCUAAGUAGCGGCGAGCGAAAUGGGAAAAGCCCAAACCAAGAGGCUUGCCUCUUGGGGUUGUAGGACACUCGAUAUGGAGUUGCAAAGGAACGGGGUAGACGAAGCGGUCUGGAAAGGCUUGCCAGAGAAGGUAACAGCCCUGUAAUUGAAACUUCGUUCCCUCCCGAGUGGAUCCUGAGUACGGCGGGACACG